rnacentral:rRNA from 1 species
GACGAACGCUGGCGGCGUGCUUAACACAUGCAAGUCGAACGAUGAAACCUAGCUUGCUAGGUCGAUUAGUGGCGAACGGGUGAGUAACACGUGACUAACCUGCCCCUUUCUCUGGGAUAACGCUCCGAAAGGAGUGCUAAUACCGGAUACUCACACCGAGGCACAUGCCUUGGUGUGGAAAGUUUUUCGGAAAGGGAUGGAGUCGCGGCCUAUCAGCUUGUUGGUGAGGUAACGGCUCACCAAGGCGACGACGGGUAGCCGGCCUGAGAGGGCGACCGGCCACACUGGGACUGAGACACGGCCCAGACUUCUACGGGAGGCAGCAGUGGGGAAUAUUGCACAAUGGGCGCAAGCCUGAUGCAGCGACGCCGCGUGAGGGAUGAAGGUCUUCGGAUUGUAAACCUCUUUCAGUAGGGACGAAGCGAAAGUGACGGUACCUAAAGAAGAAGCACCGGCUAACUACGUGCCAGCAGCAGCCGCAG